rnacentral:lncRNA from 12 species
GGGCUAUCACUGGGCUCCCCUACUGGGUUCAACGCCCCUUGCGUCGUAGCAGAUGACCUCUUGGCCCAAAAAUAUUGAUCUGUGUGCGUGCCUCCGGCGUGAUGUGCAAACACGAGACAUCUCGUCUGGAAAGAUAACCUGCCCCCAACACCGCUUCUGCCAGACAGAUGGAACUCUCCAACGUGAAAAUCUGCGCAGCCAUUCCAACGAGCGGGACUCUGCCUGGUGUUGGCCGAAGGAUGCCGAAGAAAGACUGAUGAUGGACUGGGACGCUCUUACCCCAAGAUUGGAUGAAGAUGGAAUCCAUUUCAGUCUGAAAUGUGUUUCAUGGCUGCAGCGGGCAUUCCUCUGA